UACAGAGGUCCCGAGCGUUGUCCGGAAUUAUUGGGCGUAAAGAGCUCGUAGGCGGUCUGUUGCGUCGGCUGUGAAAACCCGGGGCUCAACUCCGGGCCUGCAGCCGAUACGGGCAGACUAGAGUUCGGCAGGGGAGACUGGAAUUCCUGGUGUAGCGGUGAAAUGCGCAGAUAUCAGGAGGAACACCAAUGGCGAAGGCAGCACUCUGGGACGUGACUGACGCUGAGACGCGAAAGCGUGGGGAGCAAACAGG
rnacentral:rRNA from 1 species